GUUGAAGAACGCAGCGAAAUGCGAUAAGUAGUGUGAAUUGCAGAAUUCAGUGAAUCAUCGAAUCUUUGAACGCACAUUGCGCCCUUUGGUAUUCCUUAGGGCAUGCCUGUUCGAGCGUCAUUUAAACCUUCAAGCUAAGCUUGGUGUUGGGUGACUGUCCGCUUCACGGCGGACUCGCCUCAAAAUUAUUGGCGGCCGGUACAUUGGCUUCGAGCGCAGCAGAAACGCGAACUCGGGCCCGUCGUAUUGGCUCCCAGAAGCUAUCUUCACAAUUUUGACCUCGGAUCAGGUAGGGAUACCCGCUGAACUUAAGCAUAUCAAUAAGCGGAGGA
rnacentral:misc_RNA from 1 species